rnacentral:rRNA from 1 species
ACGAACGCUGGCGGCGUGCCUAAUACAUGCAAGUAGAACGCUGGAGGAGGAGCUUGCUUCUCUGGAUGAGUUGCGAACGGGUGAGUAACGCGUAGGUAACCUGCCUGGUAGCGGGGGAUAACUAUUGGAAACGAUAGCUAAUACCGCAUAAUAUUGACUAUUGCAUGAUAGUCAGUUGAAAGGUGCAACUGCACCACUACCAGAUGGACCUGCGUUGUAUUAGCUAGUUGGUGGGGUAACGGCUCACCAAGGCGACGAUACAUGGCCGACCUGAGAGGGUGAUCGGCCACACUGGGACUGAGACACGGCCCAGACUCCUACGGGAGGCAGCAGUAGGGAAUCUUCGGCAAUGGACGGAAGUCUGACCGAGCAACGCCGCGUGAGUGAAGAAGGUUUUCGGAUCGUAAAGCUCUGUUGUAAGAGAAGAACGAGUGUGAGAGUGGAAAGCUCACACUGUGACGGUAUCUUACCAGAAAGGGACGGCUAACUACGUG